CUGGUCAGUACCUGGAUGGUAGACCUCUUGGGAAAACUAG
rnacentral:rRNA from 1 species